CCGGGUUAUUAGUAAACACAUUCGUCAGUGUACUCCAGUUCAAACAACUGAGUCGACAAAUUGUUAUAGUUAUCACAUGAGCUUGCAGAAUGCCUCUUAAAUGAUGGCAGUAGUUGUUCAACGCAGGGUCGCCGCGGUGGUGGGCGCGCUGGUGGCCGACGCUGCAGCCCAACCCCUGCACUGGAUCUACAAUCUGGAGAAGCUGCACGCGCUCGUAGGCACGCGCGAGGACGUCGCCUUUUGGGACCCCUCCGCCAACCCAUUCUACACGCUGCCGUGCGGAGCGCUGAGUGGAUAUGGCGACCAGGCGUUCACCAUCCUGAAAUCACUCGUCGAUAGCAACGGUUUCGAUCCUGAGAACUUGAAGAAAUCUACGUUGGAAUGUUUCGGACCAAACAGCAAAUACGAAAAUCCAGUCAACGCUGUUUAUAAGGACAAAGCAGACAUCGCCAAAAAGAACGCCAAGUACCCGAUAGACGGCCCGUGGCGUCACGCCAGCAUCAAGGAGUUCCUGAGAAACUUCGCAGAGGGGAAAGAAGUCACGGGUGCCAUUGACGACGAGCAGAUCGACUGCGCCCUACGCGUUGUUCCAGUGGUGGCGCUGUACGCCGGCAGACCGGAAAUGCUCUCCGUCGCGGAGCAAGUAAUCCGCCAGACGCAGAACAAUGACCUCGCGGUUGCCGUGGGUCUCACUGCUUCCAGACUUCUAGAGUACUACAUUCUUCACGGCCCGAGCGAUGACGCAAUUGAUGACGUCAUCAGACAGCUGUCCACAGCGGGGCGCUCCAACCCCCAGGAACUUGACACGGCGAUGGUGGCGUUCUUAAGAGAAGUCGUGAGAAAGAAGAACGUGCCACAUCUCCAGGCAACGAAAGACUUCACGAACAACUGACAUUUGCCGAAGUCUUUCCAAUCGACGGUGCACGGCAUGCUGACCGGAAGUAGCUACAAGACGGCUGUGGAAGGCACCUUCCGCGCCGGGGGCUGUAACGCCUCUCGUAGUGGCUUCAUUGGCGCAUGCCUGGCUGCGCAGCACGGAUUGGAAAGCAUACCGCAAUCAUGGAAGGACAAGACUCUGCGAUAUCAAGAGAUCAUCGACUUGGCAAAUAGACUGGCCACCAUCCAGCUUUUAUAACUCCAACCACAAUACACUGAAUAACGACAUUUCCUUAAUAAGUUGUAAUUUAUGUGGCCAAUAGACUGGCCACCAUCCAGCUUUUAUAACUCCAUAAGCAGAAUAAAGACAUUUCGUUACCAACAGAUAACCAAUAUUGCCAAAAGAAAGGCAACCAACCAGCUUUCAUAACUGCAACACCAAUUGAGUCAUUCCUUUCCAAUAGCAAUAGGGUGCAGGAUCAACGGGGUUCACAGGGGUUUACACACAGGGGCCUGACAGUAUGAAAACACACCGUUAAGAACUUUAUUUUUGCAAAUAUCUCAAGUUAUUGAAAUAUUUUUGAAAAAUUCUUUUGAGCAUAAAAGGCAGUUUUUCUUGCAGUCUUUGUCGAUAUCUUAAGAUUUAAGAAUACAUUGUUGAAUACGUCUGAAAUCGGUGCCAAGAUUUCAGGUUGCGUGCAGCAAAACCUUGUAGAUGAAUGUAAACAUCGAAUUUACGGAAAAGAACACAGGCUUUUUAAUAAAGUAACGUGUAUGCUUUUUUGACAUUGCCGCAAGCCUCAUAAACAUGUCUUUAAUGCACUAGUUGAAAUUCUUCAGAAAAAAUUGUGUUAAAAAUUUACUUGAAUAAAUGCGCCGCUUACCGUUGUGUUUACAUCCUCCAUCAUCCGUUUCUGAACCCCAUAAAGUCAUGAUCCUGCACCCUGGUACAUCAACCUUAUUAUUGGUCUAGUCAUCACAUCUUUUUCAUAAAACAUGAACAGUUGUUAAUAGUGUGAUCGUUUGUUUGUUUUCUGUUGAUGUAUUUAUUAUAAUGCAAAUUGUAGUAGUGUGGUUUGGUUGUGAUAAUCCAUUAUGUAUUUACUAUUUACAUGUAUGUUCAAAGAUACCGUUUCGAAUAUAUGAACGUAAUAACAGUCUCUGGUAAUAACAUAUGCAUAUCAUUUUCAAUGGAGAUAUUGUGAUGUUUAUAUGCUGGUUCACAUUAAAAUUGAUAUCGAAUUAUGCACGUUGGUUGCUUUGAAAUGAGAUCAGUAAAUGUAGUUUGACAUUAAUGAUUAAUCACGCUGAUAAGCCUAUCUGGCUGGCGUGUUUAUGAUGAAUCCGUCUUUUACGUUUACUAAUCUUAACUUAAAUGAACAGCGUGUUUCAGCAAGUAUUAUGCAUUUCGUACGAUUUUUUAAAAUAAAGAUGUAACAUUUGUUAUUA